rnacentral:lncRNA from 1 species
AAAGCAGCACAUGUCCAACAGGAAAAUGAAUAAACAAAUACAGCAUAUUCAUACAAUAGAAUCCUAUACAGAGCAACUAAAAUAACAGCUAGAGGCAACAACACGGAUGGAUCUUACAAGCCUGAUGUGGAACAAGAGAAGCCUGUCCAGAGACUAAGUGAAUGGAUUUAUGUGGUAUGCAAAAACAGGCAAAACCAAAUCAUAGUGUUUUGGGAGGUAUGCUUACAUAGUAAAGCUCUGAAGGAAAACAAAGAAAAGGCGACUAAAGAGAAUGACAACUUACACAAUGCAGAAUCCUGGAUUGGAUCCUAGAUCCAAUCAACGUGUAGGGAUGCUGAUCCCACUCCAAGUCUAGAACAUCAUUCACAUCUUGGACAGCAAAUUUCACAUACUGAUGAAGGCGCCGAAUUUCCUAUAAGAAAAAAAUUAAAAGGCAAAUAACUUGUUUUUCUGAUA